UCGUCAACAAUGACUACAAUCACUGGUUCCUGUAUGCCAUUGGCGGCACCAGCAAUCCUACAAUUAUCAGCCAGGGAAAUAGGUAUUCAGCGCCAGGCUUUGGGGCUAAAGAGGUGACCUGUAGGGGCCUCUUAAAGCCGGGACAGUGGAAGAAUUGGAAUUGGGUAUCACAAGGUGACCACUUCGAGAACGGUGCCUUUUUUACACCAUCAGGUAAUCCAAGUGCCAGCAAGCAAUUUGGCGCCGACAAAAUGAUGCCUUUCAAACCUGGUCAAAUGGUCCCCGAACUCACAAAGUAUGCCGGACCACUAAGCUGCACAAUCGGCCGUCCUUGCUAAAAACUGCUAUUUUUAUAUGCAUAUGUCCUCCCUUUUUUACGUACAAUAUUUGAUACCCAAGCAUAGUACAUUUGGUAUCUUUUCUGAAUGAUUGUCAGUAAAUUUUCUUUUAUGCGAUCCCACCCUAUUCUCUUCUUCUCUCCUAGUAAUAGAUAAUCACAAUUUUUUUCUCACGCGUAACUGUGGAAAUCAUAAAUUUAGAACAUAAAUGUUUGUUUGAAAAUAACAUAUAAUGAAUAAUGAAAUGUGUGGUUUGAAAUAAAGUAACAAUAAUAACAUUGAUUAUCAUGGUGUUUUCAUCAAUCUUUAGUUGGUGUAGGCACCAAAUCAAUCAAAUACAUUAAUCUAACAUAUCUAGUAUAUAUAUUCUAUUGCAAGGUUUUUUUGGAUUUGUGGAAACCUUCAGUUUGAAGUGAGUUUAGAAUUCGCUAUGCGUCACCAAUCAUUUCAUGACAGGAAUGGAAAUUAAUGAAAUAAAAUAUUUGGUUAGAACUAAAGUUGCGUAAUUAAUUAAAAAUUUUAACAAUCGCGAGACCAUUUAGUUUCUAUAAAUUUUGUAUGUCCCAACUUACAUAUUCCGGGUAAUUAGUCAUUUGUCAAAACACAUCAAAGUGAGAAAAGAAAGAAACAAGAAUCAUGAGUCAUUCCUCAUAUAGUAAUAUUCGUAAUAAUGCAAUCGCAACGGUGAUUCCACCAGGUGUUCUUGCAUCACCAAGAACUAAAUUGAUUUUCUAGAACAAGAUUUAUAAUGGAGACAUCAAGUAUGUAUUUAAGGUUGUGUAUGAGUUAGAUUUCUUUAAGACUCAGCGGAGGGUCGGGGAGCCGCCCAAGACAUUGCUUUUACCAGUAUAAAGUCAACUACCGAAGCAAAAAAACUUGCAAAGCUGAGAGGACAUAGGAUUAAUAAUUCAGCACCUAUGUUUUGAGUUGCUCCAUAGUUGACGCAGUGGUAUUAGCUUAGUAAGGGCUUAAAUAAUCGUAUAGAUAUUUAUAAUUGAUGGACAUAAUAAAGUAUGCUUAACAAAUUUGAAAAUCAAAAAAGAAAAUCAAUGUCUUGGUACAGUGUUAAAUUUAUGGUUUUACUAGCAUAAUAAUUGAUUUGGGUUCAAAUCCCUUCGACAACAUAUUUUAUAUUCUUUUAAAACAAUAAGAAUUAAAAUAACCUUCAAUAAUAUAACUUAUUUUAAACAUGAAAGGAAUGUAUUUCUAAUUUCCGUAAUAGAGUCGAUGCUCGAUCGACUCAUGUCACCGAAUUAGUUAAGGACUUCAAUAAAUGUUAGUAUAGAUUGUAACAAUAAUGAAAUAUGCAUUAAAAAUCACCACAGAGGUUCAAUAUACACUCGAAUCUCUGUACUCUUUUAGACUUUUAAAAUUUGAAUACAUAGUACUUUUAUAUUCAAAGGUCCAAGUAAUAAAUUAGAGUCCAAUUCAUAUCACAUAUUCAGAUUUGAGAGAAAUAAAUAAACUCUCUUACCAAUUGAACUUUUAUUUUUUAAAUCAACCAAGUGCAAGGAUUAAAAUCUUGAAAUUGAAAGGAGAGAGGUUUCAUCUGGAAAUGUUGAAGAGUAAAGGGAUUGGAGGAUAAUUAGAGAUUUUUUUUUGUAAUUUCUGAAAUUAGACGUUUAGAAUGGUCUAAAAAAUACAAGAAAACCUCAACUGUUUCUAUCCAAAAAAAGGAAACAAAAUCCAACCAUUUUUUACGCACUUGAAACACUAGUAGCCAAGUGUGUUUUGUAAAUUUGGAAAUUUUCAUGAAUCCCGGUGUACUAUAAAUAGUGACAUAAUGAUGGUGUUCCAAGCAAAUCAUGCUCGAGUUCAAGUUUUUGGUGCCGUAGCUUGUCUCUCCUGUCCUAUUAGGGUCCUGUUUGCAUCCAACCAGUUGUUUCCAAGAGCUAGGCUUUGAUACUUAAAAUAAGAACCACUAUGGGUAUUUCUAGUUAUAGUUUCUUUCUGUUUUUAUUUGUUGUCAUAAUCCCAACCCUAGAAGCUCAUAUCGCUGAGUAUGACGAGUACUGGACGGCACGAGAAUUGGAAGCCAUUGAGAACCUGGACAAGGCCUAUCACUCCAACCCGGAGGAGGUGGUCCGCCAUUACAAUGACCACUUCUCUAGGACCAUGCUCGAGUUUUAUAUCACCAAAAGGGUGUUGGCAGAAUCAAAAAAGGGUCCCUGUGAGGUUACCAACCACGUUGACAGUUGCUGGCGAUGUGAUCCUGACUGGGAAAAGAAUAGGAAGAAGUUGGCCAACUGUGCCCCUGGAUUUGCUCGAGGUACUACCGGUGGAAAGGAUGGUGAGUUUUACGUGGUCACUGACCCUAUUGAUAAUGCUGCUGACCCCAAGCCUGGAACUCUGCGUCAUGCUGUCACCCAAACUGGACCACUUUGGAUCACUUUCAAAGGGUCCAUGACCAUCAAGCUGCAACAGGAGCUCAUUGUUACAAGUGAUAAGACCAUUGAUGCGAGGGGAGCCAAUGUGGAAAUUUGUAAUGGUGCUGGUAUCACUAUCCAAUUUGUGAAGAAUAUCAUUAUCCAUGGCCUUCAAAUCCAUCACAUUAUUCCCGCCAAGGGUGGCAAGAUCAAGGAUGGUGAAAACCACCAUGGGUUACGGGGUGACAGCGACGGAGACGGGGUGUCUAUUUUUGGAUCAACCAAUGUUUGGCUUGACCAUCUUGCCCUUCACCAUUGCGCCGAUGGCCUUAUCGAUGUCGUUCAAGGAUCAACUGCCGUUACCGUUUCUAACUGCCACUUCACUGACCAUAACGAUGUAAGCUUACUUUCCUUUCAAUUUUAAACUACGCACGAUGAGGAAUUUUUUGAUUGACAAAAAUAAUACAAUUGAAAUGAAAAAAAUUACAGGUGAUGUUGUUUGGAGCAAGCGACUCUUACAGUGCCGACAAGAAGAUGCAGGUCACUGUUGCUUUGAACCACUUCGGUAAAGGAUUGGUAGAGAGGAUGCCUAGGUGCCGAUUUGGUUUUAUUCAUGUCGUCAACAAUGACUACAAUCACUGGUUCCUGUAUGCCAUUGGCGGCACCAGCAACCCUACAAUUAUCAGCCAGGGAAAUAGGUAUUCAGCGCCAGGCUUUGGGGCUAAAGAGGUGACCUGUAGGGGCCUCUUAAAGCCGGGACAGUGGAAGAAUUGGAAUUGGGUAUCACAAGGUGACCACUUCGAGAACGGUGCCUUCUUUACACCAUCAGGUAAUCCAAGUGCCAGCAAGCAAUUUGGCGCCGACAAAAUGAUGCCUUUCAAACCUGGUCAAAUGGUCCCCGAGCUCACAAAGUAUGCCGGACCACUAAGCUGCACAAUCGGCCGUCCUUGCUAAAAAUGCUAUUUUUAUAUGCAUUUGUCCUCCCUUUUUUACGUACAAUAUUUGAUACCCAAGCAUAGUACAUUUGGUAUCUUUUCUGAAUGAUUGUCAGUAAAUUUUCUUUUAUGCGAUCCCACCCUAUUCUCUUCUUCUCUCCUAGUAAUAGAUAAUCACAAUUUUUUUCUCACGCGUGACUGUGGAAAUCAUAAAUUUAGAACAUAAAUGUUUGUUUGAAAAUAACAUAUAAUGAAUAAUGAAAUGUGUGGUUUGAAAUAAAGUAACAAUAAUAACAUUGAUUAUCAUGGUGUUUUCAUCAAUCUUUAGUUGGUGUAGGCACCAAAUCAAUCAAAUACAUUAAUCUAACAUAUCUAGUAUAUAUAUUCUAUUGCAAGGUUUUUUUGGAUUUGUGGAAACCUUCAGUUUGAAGUGAGUUUAGAAUUCGCUAUGCGUCACCAAUCAUUUCAUGACAGCAAUGGAAAUUAAUGAAAUAAAAUAUUUGGUUAGAACUAAAGUUGCGUAAUUAAUUAAAAAUUUUAACAAUCGCGAGACCAUUUAGUUUCUAUAAAUUUUGCAUGUCCCAACUUACAUAUUCGGGUAAUUAGUCAUUUGUCAAAACACAUCAAAGUGAGAAAAGAAAGAAACAAGAAUCAUGGUCAUUCCUCAUAUAGUUAUAUUCGUAAUAAUGCAAUCGCAACGGUGAUUCCACCAGGUGUUCUUGCAUCACCAAGAACUAAAUUGAUUUUCUAGAACAAGAUUUAUAAUGGAGACAUCAAGUAUGUAUUUAAGGUGGUGUAUGAGUUAGAUUUCUUUAAGACUCAGCGGGGGUCGGGGAGCCGCCCAAGACAUUGCUUUUACCAGUAUAAAGUCAAAUACCGAAGCAAAAAAACUUGCAAAGCCGAGAGGACAUAGGAUUAAUAAUUCAGCACCUAUGUUUUGAGUUGCUCCAUAGUUGACGCGUGGUAUCAGCUUAGUAAGGGCUUAAAUAAUCGUAUAGAUAUUUAUAAUUGAUGGACAUAAUAAAGUAUGCUUAACAAAUUUGAAAAUCAAAAAAGAAAAUCAAUGUCUUGGUACAGUGUUAAAUUUAUGGUUUUACUAGCAUAAUAAUUGAUUUGGGUUCAAAUCCCUUCGACAACAUAUUUUAUAUUCUUUUAAAACAAUAAGAAUUAAAAUAACCUUCAAUAAUAUAACUUAUUUUAAACAUGACAGGAAUGUAUUUCUAAUUUCCGUAAUAGAGUCGAUGCUCGAUCGACUCAUGUCACCGAAUUAGUUAAGGACUUCAAUAAAUGUUAGUAUAGAUUGUAACAAUAAUGAAAUAUGCAUUAAAAAUCACCACAGAGGUUCAAUAUACACUCGAAUCUCUGUACUCUUUUAGACUUUUAAAAUUUGAAUACAUAGUGCUUUUAUAUUCAAAGGUCCAAGUAAUAAAUUAGAGUCCAAUUCAUAUCACAUAUUCAGAUUUGAGAGAAAUAAAUAAACUCUCUUACCAAUUGAACUUUUAUUUUUUAAAUCAACCAAGUGCAAGGAUUAAAAUCUUGAAAUUGAAAGGAGAGAGGUUUCAUCUGGAAAUGUUGAAGAGUAAAGGGAUUGGAGGAUAAUUAGAGAUUUUUUUUGUAAUUUCUGAAAUUAGACGUUUAGAAUGGUCUAAAAAAUGCAAGAAAACCUCAACUGUUUCUAUCCAAAAAAAAGGAAACAAAAUCCAACCAUUUUUUACGCACUUGAAACACUAGUAGCCAAGUGUGUUUUGUAAAUUUGGAAAUUUUCAUGAAUCCCGGUGUACUAUAAAUAGUGACAUAAUGAUGGUGUUCCAAGCAAAUCAUGCUCGAGUUCAAGUUUUUGGUGCCGUAGCUUGUCUCUCCUGUCCUAUUAGGGUCCUGUUUGCAUCCAACCAGUUGUUUCCAAGAGCUAGGCUUUGAUACUUAAAAUAAGAACCACUAUGGGUAUUUCUAGUUAUAGUUUCUUUCUGUUUUUAUUUGUUGUCAUAAUCCCAACCCUAGAAGCUCAUAUCGCUGAGUAUGACGAGUACUGGACGGCACGAGAAUUGGAAGCCAUUGAGAACCUGGACAAGGCCUAUCACUCCAACCCGGAGGAGGUGGUCCGCCAUUACAAUGACCACUUCUCUAGGACCAUGCUCGAGUUUUAUAUCACCAAAAGGGUGUUGGCAGAAUCAAAAAAGGGUCCCUGUGAGGUUACCAACCACGUUGACAGUUGCUGGCGAUGUGAUCCUGACUGGGAAAAGAAUAGGAAGAAGUUGGCCAACUGUGCCCCUGGAUUUGCUCGAGGUACUACCGGUGGAAAGGAUGGUGAGUUUUACGUGGUCACUGACCCUAUUGAUAAUGCUGCUGACCCCAAGCCUGGAACUCUGCGUCAUGCUGUCACCCAAACUGGACCACUUUGGAUCACUUUCAAAGGGUCCAUGACCAUCAAGCUGCAACAGGAGCUCAUUGUUACAAGUGAUAAGACCAUUGAUGCGAGGGGAGCCAAUGUGGAAAUUUGUAAUGGUGCUGGUAUCACUAUCCAAUUUGUGAAGAAUAUCAUUAUCCAUGGCCUUCAAAUCCAUCACAUUAUUCCCGCCAAGGGUGGCAAGAUCAAGGAUGGUGAAAACCACCAUGGGUUACGGGGUGACAGCGACGGAGACGGGGUGUCUAUUUUUGGAUCAACCAAUGUUUGGCUUGACCAUCUUGCCCUUCACCAUUGCGCCGAUGGCCUUAUCGAUGUCGUUCAAGGAUCAACUGCCGUUACCGUUUCUAACUGCCACUUCACUGACCAUAACGAUGUAAGCUUACUUUCCUUUCAAUUUUAAACUACGCACGAUGAGGAAUUUUUUGAUUGACAAAAAUAAUACAAUUGAAAUGAAAAAAAUUACAGGUGAUGUUGUUUGGAGCAAGCGACUCUUACAGUGCCGACAAGAAGAUGCAGGUCACUGUUGCUUUGAACCACUUCGGUAAAGGAUUGGUAGAGAGGAUGCCUAGGUGCCGAUUUGGUUUUAUUCAUGUCGUCAACAAUGACUACAAUCACUGGUUCCUGUAUGCCAUUGGCGGCACCAGCAACCCUACAAUUAUCAGCCAGGGAAAUAGGUAUUCAGCGCCAGGCUUUGGGGCUAAAGAGGUGACCUGUAGGGGCCUCUUAAAGCCGGGACAGUGGAAGAAUUGGAAUUGGGUAUCACAAGGUGACCACUUCGAGAACGGUGCCUUCUUUACACCAUCAGGUAAUCCAAGUGCCAGCAAGCAAUUUGGCGCCGACAAAAUGAUGCCUUUCAAACCUGGUCAAAUGGUCCCCGAGCUCACAAAGUAUGCCGGACCACUAAGCUGCACAAUCGGCCGUCCUUGCUAAAAAUGCUAUUUUUAUAUGCAUUUGUCCUCCCUUUUUUACGUACAAUAUUUGAUACCCAAGCAUAGUACAUUUGGUAUCUUUUCUGAAUGAUUGUCAGUAAAUUUUCUUUUAUGCGAUCCCACCCUAUUCUCUUCUUCUCUCCUAGUAAUAGAUAAUCACAAUUUUUUUCUCACGCGUGACUGUGGAAAUCAUAAAUUUAGAACAUAAAUGUUUGUUUGAAAAUAACAUAUAAUGAAUAAUGAAAUGUGUGGUUUGAAAUAAAGUAACAAUAAUAACAUUGAUUAUCA
rnacentral:lncRNA from 1 species